UCGCGGCAUCUGCGGAACAUCCCUCCCACUAGUUUCGGGUGCAGUUUCUCUAUUCAUCAUUAGGGGGCGGGGCGCCCGAUCACGAGACCGCGAAUAGUAAUAAUAACAGCUAACACGGACUCAGUGUGUUGCACAUGCCAGGCCUUUUACUCACCUCUCGUUUCGUCCUCGCCAGCCCUAUAAGAGUCCCCAGGAGGAGGUCGUCUUAUUAACGUCGUUCUUUAUCCGAAGAUACAGCCAUGAGGACACUUGGUUCCCACUCAGCUUCUGCCCAAACAGAUGUACUUAAACAGGUGGGCCUCAAUACACUCGACAGGUGAGCCGCUGACCUGCUGCCUCCCCAGAUGUGCCACGUACAGAUGUUCUCAGGUCUUUCUCUCAUUUGAGCUCAAUUCUGUGCAGAUGUUCCUCAUACAAGUCUAUUUCCU